rnacentral:rRNA from 1 species
UACGUAGGGUGCGAGCGUUGUCCGGAAUUAUUGGGCGUAAAGAGCUCGUAGGCGGUUUGUCGCGUCGACUGUGAAAACCUACAGCUUAACUGUGGGCUUGCAGUCGAUACGGGCAGACUUGAGUUCGGUAGGGGAGACUGGAAUUCCUGGUGUAGCGGUGAAAUGCGUAGAUAUCUGGAGGAACACCGGUGGCGAAAGCGCGAGACUGGGCCGUAACUGACGCUGAGGAACGAAAGCCAGGGGAGCGAAAGGG